GACGAACCGAGCGAACGUUGUUCGGAAUUACUGGGCGUAAAGCGCGUGUAGGCGGGUCUUUAAGUCAGGGGUGAAAUGCCAAGGCUCAACCUUGGAACUGCCUUUGAUACUGGAGACCUUGAGUCCGGGAGAGGUGAGUGGAAUUGCGAGUGUAGAGGUGAAAUUCGUAGAUAUUCGCAAGAACACCAGUGGCGAAGGCGGCUCACUGGCCCGGAACUGACGCUGAGGUGCGAAAGCGUGGGGAGCAAACAGG
rnacentral:rRNA from 1 species